rnacentral:rRNA from 1 species
UACGUAGGGUGCGAGCGUUGUCCGGAAUUAUUGGGCGUAAAGAGCUUGUAGGCGGUCUGUCGCGUCUGCUGUGAAAAUCCGGGGCUCAACCCCGGACUUGCAGUGGGUACGGGCAGACUAGAGUGUGGUAGGGGAGACUGGAAUUCCUGGUGUAGCGGUGAAAUGCGCAGAUAUCAGGAGGAACACCGAUGGCGAAGGCAGGUCUCUGGGCCACUACUGACGCUGAGAAGCGAAAGCAUGGGGAGCGGACAGG